UACACGCUGUGACUAGCAUAUCAAUAAGCGGAGGAAAAGAAACUAACAAGGAUUCCCCUAGUAACGGCGAGUGAAGCGGGAAGAGCUCAAAUUUGAAAUCUUAAAGGGUUUCCCUUUACGAAUUGUAGUUUAAAGAAGUGUUUUCUGUUGAGGUUUUGGUAAAAGUUCUUUGGAAUAGGACAUCAUAGAGGGUGAGAGUCCCGUAUUUGACCUUUACUUUCAACUUUGUGGUACACUUUCAAAGAGUCGGAUUGUUUGGGAAUGCAGUCCAAAAUGGGUGGUAAAUCUCAUCUAAAGCUAAAUAUUGGCGAGAGACCGAUAGCGAACAAGUACCGUGAGGGAAAGAUGAAAAGAACUUUGAAAAGAGAGUUAAACAGUACGUGAAAUUGUCAAAAGGGAAGCGUUUGACACCAGUGUUGUUUUUCUGAAAAUCAAUUAAAGAACUGUUUAUGCUAAGUUGUUUAGACUUUAUCAGCUAUCUGUUUAGUUUUGAGCUUUUCUUUAAUGCACUUUUCAGUUAACAAGUCAACAUCAAUUUCUUUUGCUGUAAAAAAGCUUGAGGAAGGUGGCUUGAGAUUCGUCUUAAGUGUUUAUAGCCUCUUGCCUAUGCAGUCGGAGAGAUUGAGGUCUGCAGCGUAGAUCCUUCGGGGCUAAAUGCAUUUGUGCUAAGUUAUAGCAUUUUAUAGACAACUUGUUGACUAUGAUUUGUCUUGUAGCUUACUCGCUUAUGUUAUUUUACCUACGCUUAGGAUGUUGAAGAUGUAGCACAUCAU
rnacentral:rRNA from 1 species